rnacentral:rRNA from 1 species
CCUACGGGUGGCAGCAGUGAGGAAUAUUGGUCAAUGGACGCAAGUCUGAACCAGCCAUGCCGCGUGCAGGAAGACGGUGCCAAGCAUUGUAAACUUCUUUUGUCAAGGGACAAAAUCAGGCUCGAGAGCCUGACCGAGGGUACUUGAAGAAAAAGCAUCGGCUAACUCCGUGCCAGCAGCCGCGGUAAUACGGAGGAUGCGAGCGUUAUCCGGAUUUAUUGGGUUUAAAGGGUGCGUAGGCGGGCUGUUAAGUCAGCGGUAAAAGCCCGGGGCUCAACCCCGGCGAGCCGUUGAAACUGGCUGUCUUGAGAUGUCGAGAGGUAUGCGGAAUGCGCAGUGUAGCGGUGAAAUGCUUAGAUAUUGCGCAGAACUCCGAUUGCGAAGGCAGCAUACCGGCGGCGAUCUGACGCUGAGGCACGAAAGCGUGGGUAUCGAACAGGAUUAGAUAUCCGAGUAGUC